rnacentral:lncRNA from 1 species
GAGGAAUGCUGCUUGUUGCUGUGAUCGUAAACUCCUUCAUACCCCACAGGCUUGGGGGUUGGCUAGAAAAUAUUGGGUUAGAGCUGGGCAAAGAGGAAGCUGCUCAGGAUUGGAAGGUGGGAGAGAAGCAUCAGCCAUCACUCUCUGAGGUCGCCACAGUCAGAUGGAGUGACAGAUGAAGAGAUGCCUGGUGGGUCCCAGCUUGUCCUCGUUCUUCUCCCUUUGCCUCCAGCUCUUCUCCCUGGCUACCUACCCUGUUGGCCAAUGGCGGCUCAUGCUCAUCACCAGGCAUGUGGCUGCAGACACACGGAGGUGGGAGCCAUGCAGAGGCACCGGCUCUUCACAACCCUCUCUGCCAGCACCCGUUUCAGGGUCCUCCUUUGAUGUUGGGUGUGCUUGGCUUCUCCAAGUGACAGGUUAGUGCCUCCCCUGGGCCUCCAUCUGAUCUUCUGGACCUUUGCUUCCGCAGCUUCCCUCAAUUAUGCAAAUUCUAGGUCUGAUUCCUAGAAUAAAUACUGGAUCUCAAAGCACUCACAGGAUUCUGCUCCCCUGGCUGAACUCUGGUGGAAAUGAUGUCAUGUGACUUCGAAACUAGGCCUUAAGAGUCCUUGCAGUUUUCCCUGUCCUGAGGCCACAUCAUGCUGUGAAAAAACCCAACUUAGCAGAGGCUGAGAAGUUACACGGAGGAGAAUGGAAGAGCCCUGGUCAAUACACACAACUGUGAAAAAAAUAACUCACUGUAGACAUUUUUUUUAGGCUGAGAAAAUAUUUUUCUAUUAAUUGGUUGAUCUGUCAUUAUAUUCCAUUGCAUAGUCAGUGAUAAUAUACUAAGUAAAGUUUAGUGUAACCAUAUUAGAAUAAUCUAAAUUUGAAGAUAUUUAUUAGCUUUAUUAACUUAUACAAAAUAAAAUUCACUGCUUUUUUAUCGUGGUAAAAUAUAGACAACAUACAAUUAACCAUUUCAGCUACUUUUAGGUGUGCAGGUCAGUGGCAUUAGGUACAGUCACAUUGUUGUAUAAACAUCAUCACUAUCCACCUCCAGAACUUUUUCAUCAUUCCAGACAGAAACUCUGUAGCCAUUACACAACAAUUCCCCAUUCCCCCACCCCUUAGUGUAGGUUUUUUUUUCCCCAUUUUUUUUUGAGAAAGGGUCUCACUCUCUCACCUAGGCUGGAGUGCAGUGGCAGGAUCAUGCUCACUGUAACCUCCAACUCCUGGGUUCAAGUGAUCCUCCCACCUCAGCCUCCUGAGUAGCUAGGACUACAGACGUGUGCCACCAAGCCUAGCUUUUUAUUUUAUUUUUUGUAGAGAUGGGAAGGAGGCUGGCUAUGUUGCCCAGGUGCCCUCAGUGUAGUUUUAGGCCACUAAAUUUUGGGGUACGUUGUUACACAGCCGUAGAUAACUGAACAUUCAUACUUGGUGAGGUCAUAUGCUCUAAUUUUCUAGUUUAAAAAAUAGUUUCUCAGGCAAAACUAUGGAGAUGGUAAAAAGAUUUGUGUUUGC